AUUGAACGCUGGCGGCAGGCCUAACACAUGCAAGUCGAACGAGUGGCGGACGGGUGAGUAAUGUCUGGGAAACUGCCCGAUGGCGGGGGAUAACUACUGGAAACGGUAGCUAAUACCGCAUACCAUCGGAUGUGCCCAGAUGGGAUUCGCUGGUGGGUGGGGUAACGGCUCACCUAGGCGACGAUCCCUAGCUGGUCUGAGAGGAUGACCAGCCACAAUGGAACUGAGACACGGUCCAGACUCCUACGGGAGGCAGCAGGGGGGAAUAUUGCACAAUGGGCGCAAGCCGGAUACAGCCAUGCCGCGUGUAUGAAGAAGGCCUUCGGGUUGUAAAGGACUUUCAGCGAGGAGGCGUUACUCGCAGAAGAAGCACCGGCUAACUCCGUGCCAGCAGCCGCGGUAAUUC
rnacentral:rRNA from 1 species